CACUGCCUCUCGCUCUCCUUCCCUCUCCCUCUCCCUAUUGCACGCUCUCCUUCUCCCUCUCUCUCUCUCCCUCUCCCUCUCACUCUCGCGUGCUCUCCCUCUCUAUCUCCCUCCUUCUCUCUACCUCUCCAGUCCUCUCCCUCUUGUACGCUCUCCCUCUCCCUCUGCCUCUCCCUCUCCCACUUCGCUCGCUCUCCUCUCACUCUUUGAAGUUUCAAGUGUUCCUUCAUCUCCACGGCAGAGAUCGGAGGAGUUGGUAAAAAAAAAAAAAACCCUAGCUCUCUUUCGCUCGCUUUCUGUGAGAUCACGAUCUUCUUUCGAUUCCAUCAUAAGUAGAAUUGACAACUGGAAACGUGAACAUAUACGGCAGUUCCUGAGAGAGAAGGUGAAGCCUGGUGCAUUAGCAAGAUAAGAUUUGAAUCUCAGGCUAAAGAUGCAGAAACUAGCCAAAGAAAGAUGAGUACCAUGUUCUUUAGGGAAAAAAAAAAACCAAAUUGUAGUUCAGAGGUUUGAUGUCUCUAUAGUUUCUAAGAAAUAGUGAGAAUUCUCAAUC